ensembl:lncRNA
GGUGGGUAGAGAGGAGAGUAGGAGAGAGAGGGAGAGGGAGAGAGACAAUGGGGGGAGGGAGCAGAGAGAGACGAGCGGAGGGGGUGUCAGCGGAGGCUGGGUUUUCAGCAAUCCCCCUGAACGGAGGGCUGCUUGUGCUGUGGCCACGGCGACACCAAGCGAGGGAUGAAAUGCUGAACGCGGGAGACGUCCGACCGCGGUGAGAACAAAAGGAGGCGCCGAGCGUUUGAACCCGACAGCUGGAGCUGACAGUAGCCAGGAAUCUACGAGGGGACUACAUUUCGCGCUGGAAGUGCGUUUGCGCGUGUUUGUGGCGUGUGUGUGUGUAAACGCGCAUCAGAGGAGCACUCCGCAUCACAACGCUCCCCCCAGCACCCCACUCCCCCUCCGUUUCUCUUGAUUGCGAGAUCCCUUUCGCUCAGAAGGACCAGGGACGUUUUGCUCCGCUGACAGCUCCACCUCCACCCCCCCACCCUCCUGUACCCACACGUCCGGCGAGCCCCCCCCAAGAGGCCAGGCGUUUCAGCAGAGGACCCCGAGAGAAAAGCAUGCUGGAUGAUGCCGCUCCGCACGCUAAACGCCUCAGGAUAAGUGCCACCACUGGCGGUUCAGGAAAGCACCAAGACCAUGGGCACUACCGCCAUAACCCUUGAAGAGGUGCGGGCACUGGAGGGCAAGGAAGAGCAGGAGGAGUCGAUCUUGGCCUUGCUGGGCAUCAUCUGCACAUUCCUCAACCUGUUUGUGAUCGUCUUCGUUUACAUCUACACCACACUGUGAGGCGGAGGCCAAGGGUAGAGACCAGAGACUCGCCAAAAGACCACUUGGAGGGAAGGCUCAGAGACCAAGCUUUUGAGGGAACACGCUUCACACUAUGAACACCUCUGCAAACGGCAGCAGGCAGGGAUUAUACUGCUUGCCCCAGGAUUCAGAUGGAGUCGGGGAGGGCAUGUUGUUCUGCCACAGACGGGACUACGAUGAGAGAUAACGAUUAGCCGGAGGAGGAGGUGGUGCUCGUGGGGGCUACAUUAUGGCCAGCGCAAGAGAGAUGGCGUGGGAAACCGUGCCUGGGAGGAACUCCGUUAUGGCCAGAGAAGGACCUUCAACACAUAGAAGGAUACUGAAGUGCUGGGAGCGUCUCGUCGACAUGCAGUACACGUGGACCUUAUGGACAAAUACAAAGGCCAUACAGUUGGCCCCUGUGAACCUCAAAUGUGUUUUCUACUGGCAUGUCCAGCUACUUUUGUUGCCCGGUGAAACACAGGGCUCAUGAGUCCCUCUCCAUCUAGGGGCCUAUCAGAGAGAACGAGCUCUGUCGGCUUUCAGCCGCGAGCUUAG